CCUCCGAGUGAGCUCCACCCUGACACGAAAAGAGGUGAGCAAAGGUGUUGCAACAGUAGAAAUGGCAAUACAUGGCAUUUAUUCUAUGAUGAUGUUUGCAGUGGGCUUUUUACGGAUAUCUUAAAUGCAACAGUGUCUCAGUGUAUAUAGCCUACAUUUUUCUUGUAGGCAAAAUGAAUGUAUGAUAAAACGUUACUGUUAUUGAAAGUACGACAUUUCAAUGAAGUUAUGCUCUUUUCCAAAUGACAAAUAAUAAAAGUUUUUCAUUGUUUUGUAGGCCUUUUAGCAGGAGAAGUUACUGUCGUUUUCUGUAGCCCAGAGGCUAUGAGUAUCGAUAUUUGGCGAGAGAUGGUUAUGCACCUUGGUGAAAGAUUGUGUCUGUUCACGUGUGACGAGGCUCACUGCAUUUCUGAAUGGGGUCUUGAUUUCCGACCUGAGUACAGGGAAAUCAGCAAAGUGUAUUCAAUCCUACCGAAGUCGACGAGAUGGCUGUUUCUGACAGCAACAUGCACGGAUCAGUUACAUCAAUCAAUUUUGGACAUUUUGAACAUUCAGCCGGAUGAGGUCCAAACCAUCGCAGCUGUUCCAGACAG